rnacentral:tRNA from 2 species
CGCGUAGCUCAGUUGGUUAGAGCGCUUCCUUGACAUGGAAGAGGUCGGUGGUUCGACAAAAUCGUCGGGA